GAGGAUAGACCCUCACUGAGCCACUAAAGGCUCCUGGCCGGGUAGCGACGCCAGCAGACAUUUGCUAGAUCUCUGCUCUUUUGGCUAAAAGAUUGAGUCCUGACAAGACACUGACUUGGUUGACCAUUCAGGUUCCCAUGGAGAAGAGAAACUGAGGAGACGGACUCAGUUCUGACUCAUCUGCAUAAGGGGCAAAAGGAACACUUCACUGUAUGUGUGAAAACCAGAGAGAGAAGGCCAGGCAAGAACAGCAUAUUCCAUAGCAGUGACUUUCACAAAUGCUUGCAGAGGACACAAAAAGUACACAGAGCAGAGACAAGGACGAGGUGUGGGCUGACCUGGAGUGGCGUUGGGGGGCUGCCUGGUGUAGGAUACGUUGAAGGCGGGCUCCUCGAUCAGCGGUGGGGGAUACAUGCGCCUCCGGAUGAAGAAGCCAGCUCCGCAGCAGAAGAGCACGCCCAUCAUCAAAAGGAACCUGAGCGAGAGCACAGCGAAACAUGGGAAGUCAUUCUGAGAAGGGCCAAGUUGUCUGUCCUGCACAGACACGGCUGCGAAACUGUGAUGGGACUCGUGGAACCUUCCAGAACCUCACUCAUGCCCACACUUUGUGGGCAGCCUACUGCCUUGUGAAAGAUGAAUGAGCAGGAGAGCCCGCUGCAUUGUGGUCAAAGGCAUGUGACCACACAAAAACGAAAUUUAAGAAAAAAGGAGGCGAUAAAGUCUUUAAGAAUAUGAAUACGAUGUUAAGUGUAAGUCCAUCAGUUGGUCAGGAAAUGAUUUGGGAAAGGGCUGAAAUUGUGGCUAUCGGACCUGUCUUCUAGUUCAUUAUUCAUUCAAUAAUGUUGAACCACCUGCUCUGGUCCUAGAACCAUGUUGCGCAUUAUAGAGAGUAAGGUAAAGUCCCUUCCCACCCACUAAACCUGAAUUGUGAUAGAGGAGGGGGACGGCAAACAACAAAUUUACAAAAUCACUGAUU